CCUACGGGAGGCAGCAGUGAGGAAUAUUGGUCAAUGGCCGGAAGGCUGAACCAGCCAUGCCGCGUGAAGGUCAGUGCCCUAUUGGCGUUAAACUUCUUUUGUUCGGGAGCAAUAAUGUUCACGUUUGGCCAUACGAGAGUACCGUACGCAUCAGCAUCGGCUUACUCCGUCCCAGCAGCCGCGGUAAUACGGGGGGUGCAAGCGUUAUCCGGAUUUAUUGGGUUUAAAGGGUGCGUAGGCGGUGCGUUAAGUCAGCGGUAAAAUGGCGGGGCUAUACCCUGAAGUGCCGUUGAUACUGGCAGACUGGAGUUGGGACGAGGUAGGCGGAAUGAGCGGUGUAGCGGUGAAAUGCAUAGAUAUCACACAGAACUCCGAUUGCGAAGGCAGCUUACCAGACCGAGACUGACGCUGAGGCACGAAAGCGUGGGGAUCGAACAGGAUUAGAUACCCGAGUAGUC
rnacentral:rRNA from 1 species